UAACCAGCUGAGCGGCAGCCCACCAGUCGCUCCCUGGACCUCAGACCUGGGCAGAGUGCCCCGUGCAGCCCUCCCUGCCCCGCUCUGGAGCUGGCCCAGCCCCCUCAGGACCCCAGGACCUGUGCUCCCAGGAGGUGCCGCUGUCCAUGGUUGCUGCUCCUAGCGAUGACCCUCACUGUCCCCAGUGGAGGUCCAGCUGCCUGUCACCCACAGAGG